CCUACGGGUGGCAGCAGUAGGGAAUCUUCCACAAUGGGCGAAAGCCUGAUGGAGCAACGCCGCGUGGGUGAAGAAUGUCUUCGGAUCGUAAAACUCUGUUGUUAGAGAAGAAAGUGCGUGAGCGUAACUGUUCACGUUUCGACGGUAUCUAUCCAGAACGCCACGGCUAACUACGUGCGAGCAGCCGCGGUAAUACGUAGGUGGCAAGCGUUAUCCGGAUUUAUUGGGCGUAAAGGGAACGCAGGCGGUCUUUUAAGUCUGAUGUGAAAGCCUUCGGCUUAACCGGAGUAGUGCAUUGGAAACUGGGAGACUUGAGUGCAGAAGAGGAGAGUGGAACUCGAGGUGUAGCGGUGAAAUGCGUAGAUAUAUGGAAGAACACCAGUGGCGAAGGCGGCUCUCUGGUCUGUAACUGACGCUGAGGUUCGAAAGCGUGGGUAGCAAACAGGAUUAGAUACCCUAGUAGUC
rnacentral:rRNA from 1 species